rnacentral:rRNA from 1 species
GACGAACGCUGGCGGCGUGCUUAACACAUGCAAGUCGAACGGAAAGGCCCUGCUUGUGUGGGCUUCCGGGUGGCGAAACGGGGACGUAACACGUGAGUAUCCGACCCUUGAUUUUGGGGGAACUUAAGGAAACUAAGCCUAUUACCGGAUAGGAUAUCCUCCUCCGUGGUGGGGAUUGGAACUUUUCGGCUGGUGGGGAUGGACUCGCGGGUGACGGGCUUGUUGGUGGGGGGGGUGAUGACCAAGCCUUUGAAGGGUAGCCGACUGGAGAGGGUGAACGGCCACAUUGGGCCUAAGAUACGGCCCAGACUCCUAUGGGAGGCAGCAGGGGGGAAUAUUGCACAAUGGGACGAAGCCUGAUGCAGAAACGUCGCGUGCGGGAUGCCGGCCUUCGGGUUGUAAACCGCUUUCGCUUAUGACGAAGCGUGAGUGACGGUAAUGGGUAAAGAAGCACCGGCUAACUACGUG